rnacentral:rRNA from 1 species
AUUGAACGCUGGCGGCAUGCCUUACACAUGCAAGUCGAACGGCAGCGGGGGAGAAGCUUGCUUUUCCUGCCGGCGAGUGGCGAACGGGUGAGUAAUACAUCGGAACGUGCCCUGUAGGGGGGGAUAACUAGUCGAAAGAUUAGCUAAUACCGCAUACGACCUGAGGGUGAAAGUGGGGGACCGCAAGGCCUCAUGCUAUAGGAGCGGCCGAUGUCUGAUUAGCUAGUUGGUGGGGUAAAGGCCUACCAAGGCGACGAUGAGUAGCUGGUCUGAGAGUACGAUCAGGCACACUGGGACUGAGACACGGCCCAGACUCCUACGGGAGGCAGCAGUGGGAAUUUUGGACAAUGGGCGAAAGCCUGAUCCAGCAAUGCCGCGUGUGUGAAGAAGGCCUUCGGGUUGUAAAGCACUUUUGUCCGGAAAGAAAUGGCUCUGGUUAAUACCUGGGGUCGAUGACGGUACCGGAAGAAUAAGGACCGGCUAACUACGUGCCAGCAGCCGCCGUAA